UAGCAGACCUUCAGUUGUGGCAGCGUCCUAAUUAAAAGUACACAACGCAGAAUGAACCACGCGACACUAGCAGUCAUUUUCAUGAAUCAAGACGACCUUCUGGCAAAUACUUUUCAAUCCUUAUCAUAUGAAGAGAAAUUAUAGAUAAUAAUAGGAGAUCACUGACGUCAUCAUGAUUCAACCUUGUUUUUUCCCCCAGUUGUCUUGAAAGCACCAUAAAUCCAGAGACUUUGAUGACAAAGUUUGACGACAAAAUUUGCUCACAAAGGACUGCCGCGCAACCUUGCUGUUCUAGUGAACACAGCGCAACAAGGUGCAGUCCUGGGGGACCCCCAUUUUAUAACAUUUGACGGCGUGAAGUACACCUUCAAUGGGAAAGGAGAAUACUGCUGGGUUGACUCCCCAGGCAGAGGGCUGAGAAUUCAGGGCCAGACAGAGCAGGUGAAACUAGAGAACGGUACCUUAGCCAAGGCUAAUAGUCCAUCGGCUGUGACUAUAAGAGAGAAUACCUCUGUCAAAGAGGUGCACCAGGCAGAGCAGCAGGAUCAUCUGGAGGUGUUUAGGAACCAGCAAAUCCCCUCCUUCACAGAACAGUGAUGAAUGGACCUACAUGGUGUUUUCUGUACUCUCCGACACCGCAGAACAUGACCGUCAUGUUCUCUUCAGGGGUGGAGGUAGAUGUGCAGGGGCGAGAGGUGCCACCAUGGCCCUUACCGUGCUGCUCCCCCAGACUACACCAACCUCACCCAGAGGCUGCUGGAACAGAUUAAGUCUGACCCUUCAGAUGACCUGCUGACCAGCCUGGGAGAGGUCGUCUCCCCUGACAACCCCGGCACUGAGGGGAUAUUCUCAUUCGGAGCUGGCUGUGAGUCCAUGGGCCUCUCUCUGCAUUGAAACUAACAGUGCAUCUCAGUUAUCCAAAGCUCUUUCUCAAUUGCCCAAAACAAAUUCAGUAACACUUCUUACUUUAUGGGGUUAUUAAUAAGACAUUUUAUAAAAUCAAUCAUAGCAACUUUGAGUGUUGCAGUGUCAUUCAAACCAACCUUCAUAACAUUUGUUUUCAAUUGUUUUCUUUCAUUGCAUAGACAGGAACAAAAUUGUCAAAUGGUUAUGAAAAGGAUUACAAAAUGAAAGUAACAUGCAGUGUAAAAAAAAAAGUAGUUUCAACUAAUUAUUAUUAAGUAACUGGUUCCACAGUCUUUUUUUUGUUUACUCAACUUUUGUCUUACCUGAACAAACAAAAAAAUAUGUUGGCCCAAAUAUUCUGCCCUCGCAAAAGAGUCCCCUUUUUAAGCAUAGCAGAUAGAUAAACCUGGUACUGCUACUGUAAUGUUGAAGGUUGAUUUAUUGCCACUGCUUCGUAGGUACAGUAAUAGUGACUGAAGUGAGUAAAACUGAAAUGUAUAAAGAAAAGAACAAUGAGUAUGACUUAUUGAAUGCUUGCCGACUACUAGGCUUAAUUCAUGCAAAUAUUCUUGUUAGCCACUUGAGUAGCUGUACAAGAGUCUUAUGGCUUGGGGAU